rnacentral:rRNA from 1 species
UUAAGCGACUAAGCGUACACGGUGGAUGCCCUGGCAGUCAGAGGCGAUGAAGGGCGUGCUAAUCUGCGAUAAGCGCCGGUAAGGUGAUAUGAACCGUUAUAACCGGCGAUACCCGAAUGGGGAAACCCAGUGUGACUCAUCACACUAUCAUUAACUGAAUCCAUAGGUUAAUGAGGCGAACCGGGGGAACUGAAACAUCUAAGUACCCCGAGGAAAAGAAAUCAACCGAGAUUCCCCCAGUAGCGGCGAGCGAACGGGGAGGAGCCCAGAGCCUGAAUCAGCAUGUGUGUUAGUGGAAGCGUCUGGAAAGGCGCGCGAUACAGGGUGACAGCCCCGUACACAAAAGCGCAUAUGCUGUGAGCUCGAUGAGUAGGGCGGGACACGUGGUAUCCUGUCUGAAUAUGGGGGGACCAUCCUCCAAGGCUAAAUACUCCUGACUGACCGAUAGUGAACCAGUACCGUGAGGGAAAGGCGAAAAGAACCCCGGCGAGGGGAGUGAAAAAGAACCUGAAACCGUGUACGUACAAGCAGUGGGAGCCCCACCACUAAGCCAGUGGUGAACUCCACAUACGCAUCCUUUGCUGAGGAUACGGUUAACGGAGCGAAAGCGACGUUCAACCGCAAAAGAAGCAGAGGGGGCUUAGUGGUGGGGUGACUGCGUACCUUUUGUAUAAUGGGUCAGCGACUUAUAUUCUGUAGCAAGGUUAACCGCAUAGGGGAGCCGGAGGGAAACCGAGUCUUAAUUGGGCGUUAAGUUGCAGGGUAUAGACCCGAAACCCGGUGAUCUAGCCAUGGGCAGGUUGAAGGUUGGGUAACACUAACUGGAGGACCGAACCGACUAAUGUUGAAAAAUUAGCGGAUGACCUGUGGCUGGGGGUGAAAGGCCAAUCAAACCGGGAGAUAGCUGGUUCUCCCCGAAAGCUAUUUAGGUAGCGCCUCGUGAAUUCAUCUCCGGGGGUAGAGCACUGUUUCGGCUAGGGGGCCAUCCCGGCUUACCAACCCGAUGCAAACUGCGAAUACCGGAGAAUGUUAUCACGGGAGACACACGGCGGGUGCUAACGUCCGUCGUGAAGAGGGAAACAACCCAGACCGCCAGCUAAGGUCCCAAAGUCAUGGUUAAGUGGGAAACGAUGUGGGAAGGCCCAGACAGCCAGGAUGUUGGCUUAGAAGCAGCCAUCAUUUAAAGAAAGCGUAAUAGCUCACUGGUCGAGUCGGCCUGCGCGGAAGAUGUAACGGGGCUAAACCAUGCACCGAAGCUGCGGCAGCGACACUCAGGUGUUGUUGGGUAGGGGAGCGUUCUGUAAGCCUGUGAAGGUGGCCUGUGAGGGUUGCUGGAGGUAUCAGAAGUGCGAAUGCUGACAUAAGUAACGAUAAAGCGGGUGAAAAGCCCGCUCGCCGGAAGACCAAGGGUUCCUGUCCAACGUUAAUCGGGGCAGGGUGAGUCGACCCCUAAGGCGAGGCCGAAAGGCGUAGUCGAUGGGAAACGGGUUAAUAUUCCCGUACUUGGUGUUACUGCGAAGGGGGGACGGAGAAGGCUAUGUUGGCCGGGCGACGGUUGUCCCGGUUUAAGCGUGUAGGUGUGUGUUCCAGGUAAAUCCGGUUCACUUUAACACUGAGGCGUGACGACGAGGCACUACGGUGCUGAAGCAACAAAUGCCCUGCUUCCAGGAAAAGCCUCUAAGCAUCAGGUAACACGAAAUCGUACCCCAAACCGACACAGGUGGUCAGGUAGAGAAUACCAAGGCGCUUGAGAGAACUCGGGUGAAGGAACUAGGCAAAAUGGUGCCGUAACUUCGGGAGAAGGCACGCUGACACGUAGGUGAAGUGAUUUACUCACGGAGCUGAAGUCAGUCGAAGAUACCAGCUGGCUGCAACUGUUUAUUAAAAACACAGCACUGUGCAAACACGAAAGUGGACGUAUACGGUGUGACGCCUGCCCGGUGCCGGAAGGUUAAUUGAUGGGGUCAGCGCAAGCGAAGCUCCUGAUCGAAGCCCCGGUAAACGGCGGCCGUAACUAUAACGGUCCUAAGGUAGCGAAAUUCCUUGUCGGGUAAGUUCCGACCUGCACGAAUGGCGUAAUGAUGGCCAGGCUGUCUCCACCCGAGACUCAGUGAAAUUGAACUCGCUGUGAAGAUGCAGUGUACCCGCGGCAAGACGGAAAGACCCCGUGAACCUUUACUAUAGCUUGACACUGAACAUUGAGCCUUGAUGUGUAGGAUAGGUGGGAGGCUUUGAAGUGUGGACGCCAGUCUGCAUGGAGCCGACCUUGAAAUACCACCCUUUGAUGUUUGAUGUUCUAACGUGGACCCGUUACCCGGGUUGCGGACAGUGUCUGGUGGGUAGUUUGACUGGGGCGGUCUCCUCCUAAAGAGUAACGGAGGAGCACGAAGGUUGGCUAAUCCUGGUCGGACAUCAGGAGGUUAGUGCAAUGGCAUAAGCCAGCUUGACUGCGAGCGUGACGGCGCGAGCAGGUGCGAAAGCAGGUCAUAGUGAUCCGGUGGUUCUGAAUGGAAGGGCCAUCGCUCAACGGAUAAAAGGUACUCCGGGGAUAACAGGCUGAUACCGCCCAAGAGUUCAUAUCGACGGCGGUGUUUGGCACCUCGAUGUCGGCUCAUCACAUCCUGGGGCUGAAGUAGGUCCCAAGGGUAUGGCUGUUCGCCAUUUAAAGUGGUACGCGAGCUGGGUUUAGAACGUCGUGAGACAGUUCGGUCCCUAUCUGCCGUGGGCGCUGGAGAACUGAGGGGGGCUGCUCCUAGUACGAGAGGACCGGAGUGGACGCAUCACUGGUGUUCGGGUUGUCAUGCCAAUGGCACUGCCCGGUAGCUAAAUGCGGAAGAGAUAAGUGCUGAAAGCAUCUAAGCACGAAACUUGCCCCGAGAUGAGUUCUCCCUGAGACUUUAGGUCUCCUGAAGGAACGUUGAAGACGACGACGUUGAUAGGCCGGGUGUGUAAGCGCAGCGAUGCGUUGAGCUAACCGGUACUAAUGAACCGUGAGGCUUAACCUU